AUUGAACGCUGGCGGCAUGCCUUACACAUGCAAGUCGAACGGCAGCACGGGUGCUUGCACCUGGUGGCGAGUGGCGAACGGGUGAGUAAUAUAUCGGAACGUACCUUAUUGUGGGGGAUAACGCAGCGAAAGCUGUGCUAAUACCGCAUAAUCCCUUAGGGGGAAAGCGGGGGACCGUAAGGCCUCGCGCAAUUAGAGCGGCCGAUACCUGAUUAGCUAGUUGGUGAGGUAAAGGCUAACCAAGGCGACGAUCAGUAGCUGGUCUGAGAGGACGAUCAGCCACACUGGGACUGAGACACGGCCCAGACUCCUACGGGAGGCAGCAGUGGGGAAUUUUGGACAAUGGGGGCAACCCUGAUCCAGCAAUGCCGCGUGAGUGAAGAAGGCCUUCGGGUUGUAAAGCUCUUUUGUCAGGGAAGAAACAGCAGCUCUAACACAGUAUGCGAAUGACGGUACCUGAAGAAUAAGCACCGGCUAACUACGUGCCAGCCGCCGCCGUAAGAC
rnacentral:rRNA from 1 species